CCUCUCGGGGUUCAGCCUUGCUGAAUUAUUCACCCUUGUCUUUUGCGUACUUCUUGUUUCCUUGGUGGGUUCGCCCACCACUAGGACAAACAUAAACCUUUUGUAAUUGCAAUCAGCGUCAGUAACAAAUUAAUAAUUACAACUUUCAACAACGGAUCUCUUGGUUCUGGCAUCGAUGAAGAACGCAGCGAAAUGCGAUAAGUAGUGUGAAUUGCAGAAUUCAGUGAAUCAUCGAAUCUUUGAACGCACAUUGCGCCCUUUGGUAUUCCAAAGGGCAUGCCUGUUCGAGCGUCAUUUGUACCCUCAAGCUUUGCUUGGUGUUGGGCGUCUUGUCUCUAGCUUUGCUGGAGACUCGCCUUAAAGUAAUUGGCAGCCGGCCUACUGGUUUCGGAGCGCAGCACAAGUCGCACUCUCUAUCAGCAAAGGUCUAGCAUCCAUUAAGCCUUUUUUUCAACUUUUGACCUCGGAUCAGGUAGGGAUACCCGCUGAACUUAAGCAUAUCAAUAAGCGGAGGAAAAGAAACCCAACAGGGAUUGCCCUAGUAACGGCGAGUGAAGCGGCAACAGCUCAAAUUUGAAAUCUGGCUCUUUUAGAGUCCGAGUUGUAAUUUGCAGAGGGCGCUUUGGCUUUGGCAGCGGUCCAAGUUCCUUGGAACAGGACGUCACAGAGGGUGAGAAUCCCGUACGUGGUCGCUGGCUAUUGCCGUGUAAAGCCCCUUCGACGAGUCGAGUUGUUUGGGAAUGCAGCUCUAAAUGGGAGGUACAUUUCUUCUAAAGCUAAAUAUUGGCCAGAGACCGAUAGCGCACAAGUAGAGUGAUCGAAAGAUGAAAAGCACUUUGGAAAGAGAGUCAAACAGCACGUGAAAUUGUUGAAAGGGAAGCGCUUGCAGCCAGACUUGCUUACAGUUGCUCAUCCGGGUUUCUACCCGGUGCACUCUUCUGUAGGCAGGCCAGCAUCAGUUUGGGCGGUAGGAUAAAGGUCUCUGUCACGUACCUCCUUUCGGGGAGGCCUUAUAGGGGAGACGACAUACUACCAGCCUGGACUGAGGUCCGCGCAUCUGCUAGGAUGCUGGCGUAAUGGCUGUAAGCGGCCCGUCUUGAAACACGGACCAAGGAGUCUAACAUCUAUGCGAGUGUUUGGGUGUCAAGCCCGAGCGCGUAAUGAAAGUGAACGGAGGUGGGAACCCGCAAGGGUGCACCAUCGACCGAUCCUGAUGUCUUCGGAAGGAUUUGAGUAAGAGCAUGGCUGUUGGGACCCGAAAGAUGGUGAACUAUGCUUGAAUAGGGUGAAGCCAGAGGAAACUCUGGUGGAGGCUCGCAGCGGUUCUGACGUGCAAAUCGAUCGUCAAAUUUGGGCAUAGGGGCGAAAGACAAUC
rnacentral:rRNA from 1 species